ACUCCUACGGGGAGGCAGCAGUAGGGAAUCUUCCACAAUGGGCGCAAGCCUGAUGGAGCAACACCGCGUGAGUGAAGAAGGGUUUCGGCUCGUAAAGCUCUGUUGUUAAAGAAGAACACGUAUGAGAGUAACUGUUCAUACGUUGACGGUAUUUAACCAGAAAGUCACGGCUAACUACGUGCCAGCAGCCGCGGUAAUACGUAGGUGGCAAGCGUUAUCCGGAUUUAUUGGGCGUAAAGAGAGUGCAGGCGGUUUUCUAAGUCUGAUGUGAAAGCCUUCGGCUUAACCGGAGAAGUGCAUCGGAAACUGGAUAACUUGAGUGCAGAAGAGGGUAGUGGAACUCCAUGUGUAGCGGUGGAAUGCGUAGAUAUAUGGAAGAACACCAGUGGCGAAGGCGGCUACCUGGUCUGCAACUGACGCUGAGACUCGAAAGCAUGGGGUAGCGAACAGGAUUAGAUACCCUGGUAGGAUAGCG
rnacentral:rRNA from 1 species